rnacentral:rRNA from 1 species
CCUACGUGAGGCAGCAGUGAGGAAUAUUGGUCAAUGGACGAGAGUCUGAACCAGCCAAGUCGCGUGAAGGAUGACUGCCCUAUGGGUUGUAAACUUCUUUUAUAAAGGAAUAAAACGAGGCACGUGUGCCUUUUUGCAUGUACUUUAUGAAUAAGGAUCGGCUAACUCCGUUCCAGCAGCCGCGGUAAUAUGGAGGAUCCGAGCGUUAUCUGGAUUUAUUUGGUUUAAAGGGAGCGUAGAUGGGUUGUUAAGUCAGUUGUGAAAGUUUGCGGCUCAACCGUAAAAUUGCAAUUGAUACUGGCAGUCUUGAGUACAGUGGAGGUAAGCAGAAGUCGUGGUGUAGCGGUGAAAUGCUUAGAGAUCACGAAGAACCCCGAUUGCGAAGGCAGCUUACUAAACUGUGACUGACAUUGAUGCUCGAAAGUGUGGGUAUCAAACAGGAUUAGAUACCCGUGUAGUC